GAGGACACGCUGGGCGGCGUGGAUUAGGCAUGCAAGUCGAACGGUAUCAUUCCGUUCGGGGUGAGAGAGUGGCGAACUGGUGAGUAACACGUAGGUUAUCUACCCUCAAGGACGGGGACAACCCAGGGUAAACUUGGGCUAAUACCGGAUGUGAGCAACUUUUAGUUGUUUGAAAGGUGGCGUAAGCUGUCGCUUGGGGAUGAGCCUGCGUCCUAUUAGUUAGUUGGUGAGGUAACGGCUCACCUAGGCAAUGAUAGGUAGGCGGCCUUAACGGGUGGUCGCCCACACUGGGAUUGAGAUACGGCCCAGACUCCUACGGGAGGCAGCAGUCGAGAAUAGUCUACAAUGGUCGGAAGACUGAUAGUGCGACGCCGCGUGAACGAUGAAUCCCUUCGGGGUGUAAAGUUCUUUUAUAUGUGAGCAGUGCUUCUUAUAUUAACAGUAUGGGGAGAGAGAUAUUAGCAUAUGAAUAAGCAACGGCUAACUCCGUG
rnacentral:rRNA from 1 species